GAUGAACAUUGCUAUUCCAUAACUUUUUUCUGAAAAUUUUGUUUAUAUUCUUUUUAAAAGUUUUCUUAGACAUUUAAACAUGCUCUUCAAAAAUUAAAGGUGAUCUCCAAGGAAGCCUUGAAAAUUGUACACCUUGCUGUCUGCUGAUAUGAUGCAGCAUAAAAGAGAAGUGAUAUGGAUUUAUUUUUGUCCACCUAUUUUAGAGCAGAUCCCAUGUGAUCUGGAAUGCAUGGGGUUUUGGUAGCUAUGGUAACCACAUCAUAAACCUUGAUGGAUGGCAGGUGCUUUACUCACUUCAAC
ensembl:lncRNA